rnacentral:rRNA from 1 species
GACGAACGCUGGCGGCGUGCUUAACACAUGCAAGUCGAACGAUGAAGAAGAGAAACGCGAACUUCGGUUCAAAUUUCACUUCGGAUUAGUGGCAGACGGGUGAGUAACGCGUGAGCAACCUACCUCUUACAAAGGGAUAGCCUCGGGAAACCGUGAUUAAUACCAUAUGACACAUUCAUAAGGCAUCUUAAGAAUGUUAAAGCUACGGCGGUAAGAGAUGGGCUCGCGUCCCAUUAGCUAGUUGGUGAGGUAACGGCCCACCAAGGCGACGAUGUGUAACCGGCCUGAGAGGGUGAACGGUCACAUUGGAACUGAGACACGGUCCAAACUCCUACGGGAGGCAGCAGUGGGGAAUAUUGCACAAUGGAGGGAACUCUGAUGCAGCGACGCCGCGUGAGCGAUGAAGGAAUUCGUUUCGUAAAGCUCUGUUCUAUGGGAAGAAAAGGACUGUACCAUAGGAGAAAGCCCCGGCUAAAUACGUG